rnacentral:rRNA from 1 species
GAACGCUGGCGGCGUGCCUAACACAUGCAAGUCGAACGGAGAUAUUCGGAGCUUGCUUUGGAUAUCUUAGUGGCGGACGGGUGAGUAACGCGUGAGUAACCUGCCUCUCAGAGGGGGAUAACGUUCUGAAAAGAACGCUAAUACCGCAUGAUAUUGCGAAACCGCAUGGUUUUGCAAUCAAAGGAGCAAUCCGCUGAGAGAUGGACUCGCGUCCGAUUAGCCAGUUGGCGGGGUAACGGCCCACCAAAGCGACGAUCGGUAGCCGGACUGAGAGGUUGAACGGCCACAUUGGGACUGAGACACGGCCCAGACUCCUACGGGAGGCAGCAGUGGGGGAUAUUGCACAAUGGGGGAAACCCUGAUGCAGCAACGCCGCGUGUGGGAAGAAGGUUUUCGGAUUGUAAACCACUGUUCUCAGGGACGAUAAUGACGGUACCUGAGGAGAAAGCUCCGGCUAACUACGUGCC